rnacentral:rRNA from 1 species
GACGGAGGGUGCAAGCGUUGCUCGGAAUCACUGGGCGUAAAGGGUGCGUAGGCGGUCUCGCAAGUCUGGCGUGAAAGCCCAAGGCUCAGCCUUGGAAGUGCGCUCGAAACGGCGAGGCUGGAGUGCCGGAGGGGAGAGUGGAAUUCCCGGUGUAGCGGUGAAAUGCGUAGAGAUCGGGAGGAACGCCGGUGGCGAAAGCGAGCUGCUGGACCUUUUCUGACGCUGAGGCGCGAAAGCCAGGGGAGCAAAGCGGG